rnacentral:rRNA from 1 species
ACGGAAGGCAGCAGUGGGGAAUAUUGCACAAUGGGGGAAACCCUGAUGCAGCGACGCCGCGUGAGUGAAGAAGUAUUUCGGUAUGUAAAGCUCUAUCAGCAGGGAAGAAAAUGACGGUACCUGACUAAGAAGCCCCGGCUAACUACGUGCCAGCAGCCGCGGUAAUACGUAGGGGGCAAGCGUUAUCCGGAUUUACUGGGUGUAAAGGGAGCGUAGACGGCGAUGCAAGUCUGAUGUGAAAGCCCGGGGCUCAACCCCGGCACUGCAUUGGAAACUGUGUUGCUAGAGUGCAGGAGAGGUAAGUGGAAUUCCUAGUGUAGCGGUGAAAUGCGUAGAUAUUAGGAGGAACAUCAGUGGCGAAGGCGGCUUACUGGGCUUUAACUGACGCUGAGGCUCGAAAGCGUGGGGAGCAAACAGGAUUAGAUACCCUGGUA